rnacentral:rRNA from 1 species
AACGAACGCUGGCGGCAGGCCUAACACAUGCAAGUCGAGCGCCCGCAAGGGAGCGGCGGACGGGUGAGUAACGCGUGGGAACGUGCCCUUUGCUACGGAAUAGCCUCGGGAAACUGGGAGUAAUACCGUAUGUGCCCUUCGGGGGAAAGAUUUAUCGGCAAAGGAUCGGCCCGCGUUGGAUUAGGUAGUUGGUGGGGUAAUGGCCUACCAAGCCGACGAUCCAUAGCUGGUUUUAGAGGAUGAUCAGCCACGCUGGGACUGAGACACGGCCCAGACUUCUACGGGGUGCAGCAGUGGGGAAUCUUAGACAAUGGGGGCAACCCUGAUCUAGCCAUGCCGCGUGAGUGAUGAAGGCCUUAGGGUUGUAAAGCUCUUUCAGCUGGGAAGAUAAUGACGGUACCAGCAGAAGAAGCCCCGGCUAACUCCGUGCCAGCCGCCGCAGUAA